GUCUUCUUCAUAUCCAACAACAUUCUCACGUGACAACAACGCACAAACCUACGGAGAAACCAACAGAGAAACCGACGACGACCGUCCAGGUAACCACACAGCCGAUCACCACAAAGAAACCAGUUACCACCACUAUGCCACCUGCCACUACCACCAUGCCACCCGCCACCACAACCAUGCCACCAGCAACCACUAAUAUGCCAGGAAGCACAUUGCCUCCUCUGAAUCUCAAGACAUGUGAUCCUCUGGCCUUUGUGAUGGUUCUUGCAAAUGGAAACCAAGUUCUUAACGACAAUGCCGGACUUUGCACGGACGGGACCCACAGUGCACCCGAGGCGGUCGUCAUGCAGACCUGUAAGGCUCCGGCACCCUCGGCAUGGACCGCCGGACCCAAGGUGUUGGAAAACUGCGCCAGGAUUCCUGCGUACACACCGAUCGCCACGUUUGAGUUUGGUCAGUACAAUCUGGACUCUUCCUCCCUGUCGGGAAUCUUCGUGGAGUGCACGGAUGACGGGUUCAAGAUUGCGGCACAGCUAUGCGGACAUGGUCCAGAGAUCUUCACGCUUCACAGGGGCGGCUCCACUCUGCGACAGAAUCCCGAUAGUUAUUAUGUCAUUAACAUAUAAAAGUUUCCGGAGGGUGUACCUCGUCUGCAUAUUAUUCAUUUACAAAGAGCACAUCAAACAAAUACAUCAUCUAAAGUC
rnacentral:misc_RNA from 1 species